CGCGUAGGCGGACUGGAAAGUUGGGGUGAAAUCCCAGGGCUCAACCCUGGAACUGCCUCCAAAACUAUCAGUCUUGAGUACUGGAGAGGUGAGUGGAAUUCCGAGUGUAGAGGUGAAAUUCGUAGAUAUUCGGAGGAACACCAGUGGCGAAGGCGGCUCACUGGCCAGAUACUGACGCUGAGGUGCGAAAGCGUGGGGAGCAAACA
rnacentral:rRNA from 1 species